AUGAACGCUGGCGGCGUGCCUAAUACCUGCAAGUCGAGCGAACAGACGAGGAGCUUGCUCCUCUGACGUUAGCGGCGGACGGGUGAGUAACACGUGGAUAACCUACCUAUAAGACUGGGAUAACUUCGGGAAACCGGAGCUAAUACCGGAUAAUAUAUUGAACCGCAUGGUUCAAUAGUGAAAGACGGUUUUGCUGUCACUUAUAGAUGGAUCCGCGCCGCAUUAGCUAGUUGGUAAGGUAACGGCUUACCAAGGCAACGAUGCGUAGCCGACCUGAGAGGGUGAUCGGCCACACUGGAACUGAGACACGGUCCAGACUCCUACGGGAGGCAGCAGUAGGGAAUCUUCCGCAAUGGGCGAAAGCUUGACGGAGCAACGCCGCGUGAGUGAUGAAGGUCUUCGGAUCGUAAAACUCUGUUAUUAGGGAAGAACAAAUGUGUAAGUAACUAUGCACGUCUUGACGGUACCUAAGCAGAAAGCCACGGCUAACUACGU
rnacentral:rRNA from 1 species